UUGUUUGAAACGUAAAAGUGAAUGUACUAAGUUCGUAUAAGCGUGUACUUUAAUACUAAUUCUUAAACGUAAUAGUGACACGGUGGUACGGAACAGUCUUUUGGAGUAUUCUUAAGUGUCUGAUUCUUGAUUGCAUACGUUUUUUAUACUUGAAAAACGGAUAAUGAGCUCGGAAAAGGCUAUGGCUAUGGCUAUGGCUAUGGCUAUGGCUAUGGCUAUGGCUAUGGCUUUGAUUUGGAUUCAGGAGUGAGAAGUGAAUCAAGGAUCCAUAUCCUUCUAAUCCUGAAGGAUUGCGAUUGGUAGUACACAGGACGCAAUGGUCCAAGGAUAGAAGGCCGCUAGGACUCGAAAGUUCUCGAAUGGCAUGGCGUACCGGGAAGCGUGUACCUGUUCCAGAUUGGAGGGGGUUAUGUAGGCACGGGAAGGAACCCACAAACAUCUGAACGUGGAUUUAGCUGACCAUCAAAGAAGCAGUUUCGCGGUAGGAUAGCAAGUAGUACCCGGCAGUAUCAGAUACCAUACACCCUAUCACUAGUAUUAUUAGUACCACUAAUUUUUGUGCGUUAAAUGUUUUUCGUGGAAAUUGUGUAUUUAGUUUUUUUAUUUAUAUUAUAUUGCUUACAUGGAUGAACGAGGUUACGACCCACCUGGUAUUAACCGAUUACCGGAGCCCAUAAACAUCUACAACAUAAAUGCUGGCACUUACCUUGAGAUAUGAGUUCUAAGGUCUCAGUAUAGUUACAACGGCUACCCCACCCUUAAAACCGAAACGCAUUACUGCUGCACGGUAGAAAUAGGCAGGGUGGUGGUACCUACCCGUGCGGAAUCACAAGAGGUCCUACCACCAGUUUCUGCGAAGCACGGCUCUUGCUAGGGUUCGUGUUAGCAAUGUCGUCAGGUUUGAGCCCCGUAAGCUUACCUACUAGUUAAGGUUACGCUGAAAUAGCCUCUCAAGGCUUUCAGCUAGGUACAACGGCUGCCUCACCCUUCAAACCGAAACAUAUUACUGCUUCACGGCGGAAAUAUGCAGAGCCUACUACCUACCACCAGUACACAUGUUGAGUACGUCUGCGUGCAGAUGCUAAUUUUCUUAGAAAGCCCCGUGCAGCAGGCCUAUGCUUGCUGUGCUCUUGGUAUUACGUAAUACGUAACGUCCAUGUAACUAUUUACCGUCAGCUCGACCGUAACCUGGUCUGUCUACAAUAAAAUAAUUUUAAUUAUCAGUAAUUUGAUUUACAAACUGUGUGGAAUGCUUAGAAGCUUGCCGCUUUAUCGAGCGAACAUGCCCAUUUUUUAUUUUUCCUACCUAUGUUGAUAGCCUUGAGAGGCUAUUUCAGCUUCUCCUUGACGUGUAGGUGAACUCACGGGGCUCAAACCGGGUGUGCCGCUAACACUGGCCCUAGCAAGAGCAGUGCUUCGCGGAAUCCACCACCGGACAAGAAACGCGACCCACUGAGAAAAUCCGGUGAGAAACUCAGUGGGCUGUAUCUAUGGGUUAAUUCACACUUUUUUUUAUUGCCCGUGUAGGCAGACGAUCAUACAGCCCACCUGAUGGUGAGUGGUUACCGUCGCCCGUGAACUUCAGCAAACUAAAAGAACAUGCCCGAUCGCGAGGGAAUGCUCUUCGGUAGAGUUCGUGCGUUCUCCGCCACGCGUCGCCCAUCCUGAACUAACAAAAUAUUCUUAAACUUCGCACAGGAAUACUUACAAUAACAAUGAACAAUAAGUAAUGGAAUGAAGGAAGUAACUUUAUUAAUAGUAAUAAUAAUAAAAGCAAAACAGCUUAUUAAGAUUGGUUGCGUGAUGCGAAGAUGUGUUACGCUUCAUUUAGUUUCAUUGAUAAUUGCAAAGAUCCGUUGAAAUUUUACUACACGAUUCCGGUCAACCGACAACAGACCCACGAAAAGAAAACUUUUUUUUUAUUGCUUAGAUGGGUGGACGAGCUCACAGCCCACCUGGUGUUAAGUGGUUCCUGGAGCCAAUAGAUAUCUACAACGUAAAUGCGCCACUCACCUUGAGAUAUAAGUUUUAACGUCUCAAGUAUAGUAACAAAGGCUGCCCCACCCUUCAAACCGAAACGCAUUACUGCUUCACGGCAGAAAUAGGUAGGGCGGUGGUACCUACCCGUGCGGACUUUCAAGAUGUCCUACCACCAGUAAAAUGCAAAAUACCCCCAGUAAAAUGCAAUGCAAUUAGAUGCAAGUUGCGAAGAAUAACAUCUCGGUAUACCGAUUAAUUAUAGAAGUUAAAGAGUAUUGUUCACAGUAUGGCCUCCCUCUAUUCUACGCUUAUAUGAAAUUGAAUUUUUAGUAUAGAUGAAAGACUCGCGGCCCACCUAAAGUUAAGCACUUACAUCCACAGUAUAAUUUAUCCAUUUUCACCUACACUAGUAUGUCCACCAGUGAAUAAUUGAGAUCUAACGAAACCACACUUUUAGCAAUGGUAUUUUGAGGUUUUGUUUUUCAUUAUUGCGCCUUCAAUAGAACUAUUUUGCCCUUUAUACAGAAAUGCACGGCUGGUCGUAAGCUAUUCGGAUUAAUAGCAUUCUCUAAUGCAGCGGUCGGGGAACCGGGGUAAAUUACCCCAAAUGGGGUAAAAUGAAAUUUUUGGGGGUAAAAAUGAAACUGUCGUGAGUAAAAAGUAUAUAUUGAAGUGAAACUUCUUUAGAAUCGUUGUGAUUUCAAACUCGAUGAAACGAAAUGAAACGAAACGAAAAAAUAAGUCCAUAGAGACACAACACAUAAACGUAUAGGAUUCAGUCGGCGAGAGAAUGAGAUAGGACACAUUAUUUGGAAACACAAAGUUCACGUGAUUGACCCAGGUAUUAUUGUAGACAUCGUGUGAAUUAUAAAAUAACAAAUUAUCAUUUACUUAUAUUUUCUGUGGUGGCGAUUUUUUUCCUCAACUGUAUAUUACUAUUAUUACCGUUAUUGUAUUACUAGGUAAUUACAUUGAUAAAUUGAAUUAAUGAUGUUUAAAUUAAAUUUAUAGUUAUUGUUUUCUUUUCAAAAUUAUCAUGGGGGCUAUAAUAUGAAAGAUGCUAAAAAGAAGCGAUUUCGUUUUUUUUUGUUCUUCGCCAUGGGGUAAUAUCAACUUACACAAAAAUAUUUUGGGGUAAUAAUUAAAAAAGUUCCCCGACCGCUGCUCUACUACUGCUAGUCGUCGUUAAGAUACGGAUUCGUGGAUGAUAAUAGGUUGUAAGGUAAAUUGGAUCAGAAUAUUUUAUCACUCCAAAAGUGAUGAUGAUGUUGAAGACCCACCUUUUACUGGUAGGGUUAGAAAUAGAGAUAAUGGUUGGAAAAGCCAGGGCCGCUGUAUCCUGUGACUAAUUCUUCUCUUAAAGACAUAAGGAGGAAAUGAGAGCUUCUUCUUAAGAUCGGAUUUCGAUUAUAAUAAUAAGUAAAUUAUUCUUUGAGCCAAACCAAAAAAAUAAAUUGAAUGUAUUUGGCAAAUAGCAGGUUUAGUACAGCUUUGCUUAGUGACGAGGCUAUGAGGAUUUUCUAAGAAGCGUCACGAGUUCAUCAUAUGACUGGUGUCACGCUGCAGUGGUGUGCUGUGUAUUAACUGUUUGUUUAUUCCAUUAUUAGAUUAUUCUGUUUAAUUACUAGGGUGGGUAUAGACUUGUGUUGAUAAUGACGGUUGUGAUUAGUCGUUCUUAGGCUGCAUCAAAUUAAACGUGUGGGAAGUUUGCGUUGUCGCGUCGGUAUUUUUUAUUUAUACGCCAAUCUACCUGCCAUUAUCCUCGGGGGGCUAUUCUGGUUUUGCCUUUGUUGAUAAGCGAGCGUACGGGUCUCGGCCUGAUAAAAAUACUAAAAUAUGCCCUUUCAAGAGCCGUACUUUGCUGAAUUUGCGAGAUCAUCAAAGAGAAUCAAAGAUCAGUCGAGAAACUCACUGACUCACGUCUGUGGAUGUAUGUUUUACAUUAAAUACGAUUUCUACAAAAGGGGAGAUCCUACGGUUUGCUAGUAGUGCACGGUAGAGUAACAGUUCAAAUGCUCAUUGCGUUUAUCAUAUUUUAAUCGCUGUUGAAAUUCCACUUUCCAUUUCAUCAUCAUCAUCAUUUCAGCCUAUCGCCGUCCACUGCUGAACAUAGGCCUCUCCAAUAGAUUUCCAGUGUGACCGGUCCAUUGCCACCUGCAUCUAACGAGACCCAGCGCUUUUUACUAGGUCGUCGGUCCAUCUAGUAGGUGGCCGUCCCACACUGCGCUUGCCAGUACGUGGUCGCCACUCCAGGAUCUUUCUGCCCCAUCGACCGUCCUCUCUUCGUGCUAUGUGGCCGGCCCAUUGCCACUUCAGUUCACUAAUUCUACGGGCUAUGUCAUCAACCUUCGUUCUUCUACGGAUCUCCUCAUUUCGGAUUCGAUCACGUAGAGAAAUGCCGAGCAUAGCCCUCUCCAUAGCUCGCUGCGCGACUUUGAGCCUUCUAAAAAGAUCCCUAGUGAAGCACCACGUCUCCGAGCCACUCGACUAUCUGUGGGGCUAAAAAGUACUGGAAUGGAGACCUUCUCUACUGGACAUCGUAACCUGGGCAGUUGGCCUGAUCAAAAUAACUGGUAAGGACUGGAUGCGCAUGACAAGAGACCCAAAAGAAUGCGAGUGCAUAUGAAGAGACCUACACUCAUCACUGAGACAGGCUCAGAAGAAGACAAUACAAUUAGCGGUUCUCAUUUCGACGCAUAUUUAUUAAACGGAUUCAUACGUAUACAACUACAGUCAGAUACGCAAGCUAUGUUCUAACCACUGAAAGAAUCACGUGAAUUAACUAUUGUAUCAACAUUUCGCUUUUGAAACAUGAAUCAUAAUGCUACGUAAAUAGUAACUCAAAUAUGGUUAAUGAUAAUAGCACUUUGUUGUGUGUCGGUGUUAGGCAAGAGAAUGCCUUUGUAAAUAGAUAUAUGGCCUAAAAUGUUGUGGAAAGCGGAUUGCUUGUACAAGGUUUUUUUUUCGCUAAAAAUGUAACUAACCCGCUAUCCACUUGAAGGCAAUGGUCUUCAAUGACGUCAGCAAAAGUAUUUUUUUUAACGACGCUAUGUGGCUGUUAGAGAUGUGACCGCCAUACACAUUGAGGCUUGAGGUUAAGCUUUAAUUCUUUUGUAAACAAGUUGUCUCAUUCUUAGAACUAAAACGAAUUUAUACCUCAUCAUGUGUACAUUGUGGACUCCCAUAACGCCAAUUAUAACCAAUAAUAUAAUAUUUUGUUGACAUUUGAAUGUUAUCCAGCUUUUUAGAAAAUUUUCAGAGUAGUUAGCAAAUACUUGUAAUUGAAACAAUUAAUAUUGAAAAACAAUUGCAAUAGCUUGGCUGUGUUCUUUGAAUUGUCAAUUGGCGCUAUUGAAUAUAUUACAAAUUUGUAUUUAUAUUUAUAAUUUUUUUUUAAUGAUAAAGUAAAUAAUAAUAGUAAAGCUUCUCAAA